rnacentral:rRNA from 1 species
UACGGGAGGAGCAAGCGUUGUUCGGAUUUACUGGGCGUAAAGGGCGCGUAGGCGGCACCGCAAGUCGACUGUGAAAUCUCCGGGCUUAACCCCGGAAAGGUCAGCCGAUACUGCGGGGCUAGAGUGCAGAAGGGGCAACUGGAAUUCUCGGUGUAGCGGUGAAAUGCGUAGAUAUCGAGAGGAACACCUGCGGCGAAGGCGGGUUGCUGGGCUGACACUGACGCUGAUGCGCGAAAGCUAGGGGAGCAAACAGG